CCUACGGGAGGCUGCAGUGGGGAAUAUUGCACAAUGGGCGCAAGCCUGAUGCAGCCAUGCCGCGUGUGUGAAGAAGGCCUUCGGGUUGUAAAGCACUUUCAGCGGGGAGGAAGGCGGUGAGGUUAAUAACCUCAUCGAUUGACGUUACCCGCAGAAGAAGCACCGGCUAACUCCGUGCCAGCAGCCGCGGUAAUACGGAGGGUGCAAGCGUUAAUCGGAAUUACUGGGCGUAAAGCGCACGCAGGCGGUCUGUCAAGGCGGAUGUGAAAUCCCCGGGCUCAACCUGGGAACUGCAUUCGAAACUGGCAGGCUAGAGUCUUGUAGAGGGGGGUAGAAUUCCAGGUGUAGCGGUGAAAUGCGUAGAGAUCUGGAGGAAUACCGGUGGCGAAGGCGGCCCCCUGGACAAAGACUGACGCUCAGGUGCGAAAGCGUGGGGAGCAAACAGGAUUAGAUACCCCAGUAGUC
rnacentral:rRNA from 1 species